CAGUCGCCGCGGUAAUACGAGGGGAGCUAGCGUUGUUCGGAAUUACUGGGCGUAAAGCGCGCGUAGGCGGCUUUUUAAGUCAGAGGUGAAAGCCCGGGGCUCAACCCCGGAAUUGCCUUUGAAACUGGAAAGCUAGAAUCUUGGAGAGGUCAGUGGAAUUCCGAGUGUAGAGGUGAAAUUCGUAGAUAUUCGGAAGAACACCAGUGGCGAAGGCGACUGACUGGACAAGUAUUGACGCUGAGGUGCGAAAGCGUGGGGAGCAAACAGGAUUAGAUACCCGGGUAGUCCCUGUCUCUUAUAC
rnacentral:rRNA from 1 species